ACGGGAGGCAGCAGUGGGGGAUAUUGCACAAUGGGCGAAAGCCUGAUGCAGCGACGCCGCGUGAGGGAAGACGGUUUUCGGAUUGUAAACCUCUGUCUUCGGGGACGAAAAUGACGGUACCCGAGGAGGAAGCCACGGCUAACUACGUGCCAGCAGCCGCGGUAAUACGUAGGUUGCAAGCGUUGUCCGGAUUUACUGGGUGUAAAGGGCGUGUAGGCGGAGCUGCAAGUCAGAUGUGAAAUCCCGGGGCUCAACCCCGGAACUGCAUUUGAAACUGUAGCCCUUGAGUAUCGGAGAGGCAAGCGGAAUUCCUAGUGUAGCGGUGAAAUGCGUAGAUAUUAGGAGGAACACCAGUGGCGAAGGCGGCUUGCUGGACGACGACUGACGCUGAGGCUCGAAAGCGUGGGGAGCAAACAGGAUUAGAUACCCUGGUA
rnacentral:rRNA from 1 species